UUUGAAACUCCGGUCUCCGUACGAUCACCGAAGUUAAACAACGUCGAGCCUGGUCAGUACCUAGAUGGGUGACUACUUGGGAUUACCAGUUGCUGUAAG